GAUGAACGCUGGCGGCGUGCCUAAUACAUGCAAGUCGAGCGAACAGACGAGGAGCUUGCUCCUCUGACGUUAGCGGCGGACGGGUGAGUAACACGUGGAUAACCUACCUAUAAGACUGGGAUCACUUCGGGAAACCGGAGCUAAUACCGGAUAAUAUAUUGAACCGCAUGGUUCAAUAGUGAAAGACGGUUUUGCUGUCACUUAUAGAUGGAUCCGCGCCGCAUUAGCUAGUUGUUAAGGUAACGGCUUACCAAGGGAAGGAUGCGUAGCCGACCUGAGAGGGUGGUCGGCCACACUGGAACUGAGACACGGUCCAGACUCCUACGGGAGGCAGCAGUAGGGAAUCUUCCGCAAUGGGCGAAAGCAUGACGGAGCAACGCCGAGUGAGUGAUGAAGGUCUUCGGAUCGUAAAACUCUGUUAUUAGGGAAGAACAAAUGUGUAAGUAACUAUGCACGUCUUGACGGUACCUAAUCAGAAAGCAACGGCUAACUACGUG
rnacentral:rRNA from 1 species